GUGUGAUAACAUUUCCGUCCAUUUCCGGCCCAUUAAACCUAUUCAUGUUCUAGGACCCUAGAAUAUUUCACAUUAUAUUCAACCAACCUACAGACUAGGUGUAAACCAACCCGUGGUUGGAUGGUUAGGAGGUGUGGUAUCCCUUGUCCACCAGAAUUCAAGUACGAGACUUGACGUUGGUGCUUGCAUUUUCCUGGUUUUAUUUCAGGUCUUCUGACGAUGUGCUUUCAGUGGG
rnacentral:lncRNA from 1 species